rnacentral:rRNA from 1 species
AUUGAACGCUGGCGGCAGGCCUAACACAUGCAAGUCGAACGAGUGGCGGACGGGUGAGUAAUGUCUGGGAAACUGCCUGAUGGAGUGGGAUAACUACUGGAAACGGUAGCUAAUCCCGCAUACCAUCGGAUGUCGCCAGAUGUGAUUAGCUAGUAGGUGGGGUAACGGCUCACCUAGGCGACGAUCCCUAGCUGGUCUGAGAGGAUGACCAGCCACACUGGAACUGAGACACGGUCCAGAGUCCUACGCGAGGCAGCAGUGGGGAAUAUUGCACAAUGGGCGCAAGCCUGAUGCAGACAUGCCGCGUGUGUGAAGAAGGCCUUCGGGUUGUAAAGCACUUUCAGCGGGGAGGCGUUACCCGCAGAAGAAGCACCGGCUAACUCCGUGCCAGCAGCCGCGGUAAUUC